rnacentral:rRNA from 1 species
AGGACAAACGCUGGCGGCGUACCUAAGACAUGCAAGUCGAACGGUCCUUCUGCGGGGGGACAGUGGCGGACGGGUGAGUAACGCGUACGGAACCUAUCACGGGACGGGGAUACCCCUGGGAAACCAGGGCUAAGACCGCGUACGCUCUCUUCGGGAAGAGCGGAGAGAGGAGAGGGGAGCAUGAGGAGUGCUUUCU